GACAGAGGCCCCAAGCGUUAGGCGGAAUCACUGGGCUUAAAGCGUGUGUAGGCGGAUCGUUAAGUGUCUUGUGAAAUCCCACGGCUCACCCGUGGAACUGCUGGGCAUACUGGCGAUCUUGGGCCAACUAGGGGCAGUCGGAACAAGCGGUGGAGCGGUGAAAUGCGUAGAUAUCGCUUGGAACGCCGAAGGUGAAAACAGACUGCUGGGGUUGCGCCGACGCUGAGACACGAAAGCCAGGGGAGCAAACAGG
rnacentral:rRNA from 1 species